UACACACCGCCCGUCACAUCACGAAAGCCAGUUGUACUAGAAGCCGGUGACUUAACCCGCAAGGGGAAUAGCCGUCCAAGGUAUGACUGGUGAUUGGGGUG
rnacentral:rRNA from 1 species